UACGUAGGGGGCGAGCGUUGUCCGGAAUUACUGGGCGUAAAGAGCUCGUAGGUGGUUUGGCGCGUUGUCCGUGAAAACUCACAGCUCAACUGUGGGCGUGCGGGCGAUACGGGCAGACUGGAGUACUGCAGGGGAGACUGGAAUUCCUGGUGUAGCGGUGGAAUGCGCAGAUAUCAGGAGGAACACCGGUGGCGAAGGCGGGUCUCUGGGCAGUAACUGACGCUGAGGAGCGAAAGCGUGGGGAGCGAACAGG
rnacentral:rRNA from 1 species